ACAAUGAUCUUUGGAACUCUCUGGCUCUGAGUGAGCAGGAGUCUGGAUCAUUAAAUUUAUUCAAGUUGGAGACAAACAAGUAAUAGAAAGAUUAAGGAAUUGAAGAGUAUGGCUCACUGGCACAGAAGAUAAGUUGAAAAGAGCAUAGAUCAGCCAUGACCACUUUGUGUUUCAGGGCAGGCUUGAGCAGUCUGGUAGUUUACUCCUGCUUCUAUCUUCUUGUCAUCUUGUAAUUGAAAGAUUCAAAGUACUGUACAUUUAUUAUCGAAGUAUGUAUGCCAUAUACAACCCUGAGAUUCUCACACAGCCAUGAAACAAAGAAAACCCGUUCAAAGAAAGGUAUGAACCCUCAUCCCAUGCACAAAGAAAAAUAAAUUGCGCAAAUGGCAGCAAAAAAAAAAAUGGGUGAAAGACACAGAAUAUAAAACACAAAAUUGAAGGAGUCCGGGCAUGUUCAGUUCAGCUUAGUGUCCAUUAUCUGCAGGCCACCCCAAUUCACAAAUCACCCAAAAUAUCAACAAGAAAAGGAGCGACCAGAAACCAGAAAAACAUCGUAACAUGAACUACAGUCCAAUCCACAAACCGUUCAAUUAAACCUUGCUCUAGAGCCAGGACUCCAGCAUCAUCCUCGGACAGCAUCAAGAGAGAGAAGGAGAGAGACCAUUUGAAUGCAGGGACCUUCCUCGGGCAGCAGCGAGUGAGAGGCAACAUUAUUGUGGAAUCUUCAGCAGCCUAAUCUUCAAAAUUAGUGAUCGAAAAAGAACUUCAGAAUUCAGAAGAAUGAAG